GAAGCAAUAAUUAUCCCAAUAAGGAAGCCAGGAAAAGAUGCUAAUAAGCCAUCAAACUAUAGACCUAUUGCAUUAACAUCGCAUAUUUGCAAAUUGAUGGAAAGAAUGGUAAAUGAGAGAUUAAUGUAUUUUUUGGAAAAAAAGGGUUUGAUAACGGAAUAUCAAAGUGGGUUUAGGAGAGGAAGGGGCACAAUGGAUGCAGUGUUGUGCUUGGAGGACGAUGUAAGAAAAGCUCAAAUAAAUAAAGAAUCUGUGGUAGCAGUAUUUUUUGAUGUUGAGAAGGCAUAUGAUAUGUUAUGGAGAGAGGGGUUAAUGAUUAAACUACACAAAAUGGGAGUAAGAGGUAAAGUUUUUAAUUGGAUUCUAGAUUUCUUAAAAGGAAGAUCAAUUCAAGUUAAAAUAGGAGCAGAAAUUUCAAAUAAGUAUAUGGUAGAAAAUGGAACACCACAAGGGAGUGUUAUAAGUCCUACAUUUUUUUCCGUUAUGAUAAAUGAUAUAUUUAAUAAUGUACCGAAUGGCAUGAAUAGAUCAUUGUUUGCAGAUGAUGGGGCACUUUGGAAACGUGGGAAAAAUGUGGAAUAUGUAGUUAAGAAAAUACAGGAAGGAAUACAUCAGGUUGAAAAGUGGGGAAUGGAAUGGGGUUUUAAGUUUUCUGCUGAAAAAUCAAAAGUGAUGGUUUUCUCUGGAACGAAAAAUAAAGAUAUUAAACUGAAACUGUAUAGGAAUAAUCUGGAAAGAGUUGAGAGUUUUCGUUUUUUGGGGGUAUGGUUUGAUUCACGACUAACAUGGAGAUCACACAUUAAACAAGUAGAGGAUAAAUGUAAAAAAGUAUUAAACAUUAUGAGGUGUCUUGCAGGAGUGGAGUGGGGAGCAGAUUUUAAUUCAUUAAAAUAUAUAUAUAUUUCCCUAAUAAGAUCUAGGUUGGAUUAUGGGAGUCAGGCAUUUAGAUCAGCAGCAAAAUCAGUAUUAGCGAGACUGGACAAACUUCAGGCACAGGCACUGAGAU
rnacentral:lncRNA from 1 species